rnacentral:rRNA from 1 species
UACGUAGGGUGCGAGCGUUGUCCGGAAUUACUGGGCGUAAAGAGCUCGUAGGUGGUUUGUCGCGUUGUUCGUGAAAACUCACAACUCAAUUGUGGGCGUGCGGGCGAUACGGGCAGACUGGAGUACUGCAGGGGAGACUGGAAUUCCUGGUGUAGCGGUGAAAUGCGCAGAUAUCAGGAGGAACACCGGUGGCGAAGGCGGGUCUCUGGGCAGUAACUGACGCUGAGGAGCGAAAGCAUGGGGAGCGAACAGG